rnacentral:rRNA from 1 species
UGUAAGCGUAUACCAAAGUUGUUGCAGUUAAAACGCUCGUAGUCGGAAUUUGGCAGUUCCGGAAGUGUGCACGUCGUGUGCGCACUUUGCGGGGACUGCUUUUGUGGUCUUGCGUAGGAUGAGGCACUUUCAUUAGUGAACGUCCUCACGCAACCACUCUUUACUGUGAGAAAAUCAGAGCGCUCAAAGCAGGCAUUUGCCGUGAAUGUAUUAGCAUGGAAUAAUAGAAUAGGACUCGGUUCUAUUUUGUUGGUUUGUUGGGACUGAGUAAUGAUUAAGAGGGACAGUUGGGGGCAUUUGUAUUCCGGCGCUAGAGGUGAAAUUCUUAGAUUGCCGGAAGACAAACUGCUGCGAAAGCGUCUGCCAAGGAUGUUUUCAUUGA